AUACGUAGGUGGCAAGCGUUGUCCGGAUUUAUUGGGCGUAAAGCGAGCGCAGGCGGUUUCUUAAGUCUGAUGUGAAGGCCCCCGGCUCAACCGGGGAGGGUCAUUGGAAACUGGGAGACUUGAGUGCAGAAGAGGAGAGUGGAAUUCCAUGUGUAGCGGUGAAAUGCGUAGAUAUAUGGAGGAACACCAGUGGCGAAGGCGACUCUCUGGUCUGUAACUGACGCUGAGGCUCGAAAGCGUGGGGAGCAAACAGGAUUAGAUACCCUGGUAGUCCACGCCGUAAACGAUGAGUGCUAAGUGUUGGAGGGUUUCCGCCCUUCAGUGCUGCAGCUAACGCAUUAAGCACUCCGCCUGGGGAGUACGACCGCAAGGUUGAAACUCAAAUGAAUUGACGGGG
rnacentral:rRNA from 1 species